rnacentral:rRNA from 1 species
GACGGAGGGUGCAAGCGUUGCUCGGAAUCAUUGGGCGUAAAGGGUGCGUAGGCGGCUUUUUAAGUCUGACGUGAAAGCCCAGGGCUUAGCCUUGGAAGUGCGCCAGAAACUGGAAGGCUAGAGUGCCGGAGGGGAGAGUGGAAUUCCUGGUGUAGCGGUGAAAUGCGUAGAUAUCAGGAGGAAUACCGGUGGCGAAAGCGACUCUCUGGACGGUAACUGACGCUGAGGCACGAAAGCGUGGGGAGUAAACAGG